ACCUACCUAACAGAAGCUUGUCGUGAGAGGAAAACCUAAGCAUCCGUCUUUUCGGAGGAGGGGAAAGAAAAGAAAGACAGAGAGAGCCCUAAUUCGGAGAAGAAGGGUAUUGGGAACAGGAGAUGGGCAAGAAGAAGAAGAGGGCUUCAAAGGUCUGGUGUUAUUAUUGCGAUCGAGAGUUCGACGAUGAGAAGAUCCUUGUUCAGCACCAGAAAGCCAGACACUUUAAAUGCCAUGUCUGCCAUAAGAAGCUCUCCACCGCAGGAGGAAUGGCUAUACAUGUUCUUCAGGUCCACAAGGAGUCCGUUACCAAGGUUCCUAAUGCUAAACCUGACAGAGAAUCAACGGAAAUUGAGAUUUUCGGAAUGCAAGGGAUCCCACCUGAUAUAUUAGCAGCGCACUAUGGAGAGCAAGAUGAAGAUACCCCAUCAAAGAUGGCCAAAGUGGAGAUUCCAACGCCAAAGCUCGGUGCUGUGGUCCAUGGAGCAGUAGGUAUUGGGUUUCCUCCGCAAUCCUCUCUGGGUGCAAUGCAACCAAUUUACAAUUCUGCAUUAACAGUGCCUCCUUCAGGUUGGCCAGCUCCUCCCCGGCCACAACCUUGGUUUCCACCGCUUCCAGCAGUUUCAGUGCUUCCUGCUACAACUGUGGGAAUGGCACAGCAGCCUUUGUUUCCUAUACAGACUGGCCAGCCUCCUCUUUCAUCUAUCACAUCCCCACACCAACCACCAUUUCCAAUCACUCCACCUGGAUUACCCUCAUCCACACCGCUUGUUCCUGUAUCUCAACCUUUAUUUCCAAUUAGUGGGAGUGCUACUGGCCCAACUCAUAGUUCACCAUUUUCUGCCCCUGUGCCUUCAAUGACAAUUCCAUCGAGCACUUUAACAGAGCUUAAAAGCUUGGUUGACACAUAUUCAAGUGUGAACUCUUCUACUGGAAACAGCUACCAUACUCCAAUUGUUCAAGGUGGUUCAUUUUUCAAUUCGCAUACAUAUGCUUCAGGUCCAAAUACUGGUGGUCCUUCCAUAGGGCCUCCUCCUGUGAUUGCUAAUAAAGCUCCGGCAACUCAACCAGGAACAAAUGAGGUUUAUUUAGUUUGGGAUGAUGAGGCCAUGUCCAUGGAGGAAAGAAGAAUGUCCUUACCAAAGUAUCAGGUGCAUGAUGAAACUAGCCAGGUAAGUUGUCACUAUAUCUCCCUUCUUAUUCAUUCAUAUGGAUAUGUGAGUUGCUUUGCACAUCCAAAUGGAUGCGAAGGUUUAUUAUAUUUGCUGCUUUUCAGAUUCCAUUUUUCAGACAUUCUUGUGUAUGUUAGAGGUACUUUCAUAUGAAUUCCGGGCCUUAAUUUUUUCCCAUUUUAAAUAAGAACACAUUCUGAAAAGAAUCUACGGGUCCUUUAAUCAAAUAUUAUUCUAGUUCUUACUAUGUUAGCCGAGGGGGCAUGGUGCUAUUUUUAACUGCCACUCUGCGGUUCGCAAGCAUUUCCACCGAUUUUGUGGGCAUCAAAAGUUUCAAGUAGGUAUUCACAUUAUCUUUGCUGGUAGUUAGUAUUUACAAAUCUGACAAGCAUGCUGUGAUCAGCUGGAGGGUUCUUCAACCUAGCAUCGGUUCACGCGAAAAAAAUAGCGUAUGUAUUUGCUUUGUUGAAAAUUUGAAUUUGUUGGUUGGUAUUCAUUCUCCCUAUACUUGAUUACGAAGUGUGGGGUUUUGGUAAGAAGGAGAAUAUUGCCAACAGGAUUUUUCCAAUUCAUAGCAUUUCUUGUUAUCUUUUAUGAUCGCACAGUGCAUUCAGACUUGCCCCAGAUGAACUCAGUUGAUGCUGCCAUAGACAGAAGGAUAUCUGAAAGCAGGCUUGCUGGUCGAAUGGCCUUCUAGUUGUAUCAUGCUCAUUGUGGAUGAGCCAUAUACAACUCUCCAGGAGGCAAGCAUUCUCGAAGUACCAUAGACCAGAAUCCCAGUAGUAAAUUCAUGAUUUUUAUUUAUUGUGCAUUCUUUUGGGAUGACACCACUGAUCAUGAAAAUUCUCUGUUGUAUUUUUUCAAAAGAAGAUUAGAAUUAGAAUUUUGAAAGCCAAUUUUUCUAUA